rnacentral:rRNA from 1 species
GACGAACGCUGGCGGCGUGCUUAACACAUGCAAGUCGAGCGGUAAGGCCCUUUCGGGGGUACACGAGCGGCGAACGGGUGAGUAACACGUGGGUGACCUGCCUCUAGCUCUGGGAUAAGCCUGGGAAGCUGGGUCUAAUACCGGAUAUGACCUCGCGGUGCAUGUUGCGGGGUGGAAAGCCUUGUGCGGCUAGGGAUGGGCCCGCGGCCUAUCAGCUUGUUGGUGGGGUGAUGGCCUACCAAGGCGACGACGGUAGCCGGCCUGAGAGGGCGACCGGCCACACUGGGACUGAGACACGGCCCAGACUCCUACGGGAGGCAGCAGUGGGGAAUCUUGCGCAAUGGGCGAAAGCCUGACGCAGCGACGCCGCGUGAGGGAUGACGGCC